CUUUGGGAAACGAACUUUGAGAUUCGUGUGCAGGAGGCCCCCUAAGGGGGCGCGGGAACAGCACCUGGAAGGGAAGGAAGCAGGAUUGGCGGCUGCGGGGUGGGGGGAGGUGAACGAAGUCAGGUUAGCAACAGAGAGCUCAGCCAAUCGGACGGGGAGUUCUCAGGCUGGGACCACCUCCCAGGACGGUCGGGGCUUGAGGCAAGCGGCACAUCAUCUAGUCUUGGAUGUGAACUGUUCCCAGAAAGAGGGUCUCUUGGCCAUGGUGGGGAGCAGGUGGAGCUUAGUGUAAUAGAACUCUCGCUGUGUACUGUGGUGGAAGCAUUCUACUUCUGGAAACCAUGACCCCUAGAAGCUCAGAGUCUAGAGUUACGGGGACAGGAAGCAUGAAUUUCCUGAAGGGUUCACUGGGAGUAAUGUUCCUUAGCGGGCUCUUCUUCCAUCUGGCUCCCCCAGUUGGCAACCCAUAGGCUCACCCCUGUGCGGGAGUGUUUCCUAAACCAGCGCUCAGCCAACUCUGGAGUACGACCAAUAUUGGUUCUACCACACGUGCUUAGUACAAGGCUCGCACCAUAUGCUUCCUGCCGUGCCAUUUGUGACACCCACACUGUUCUUUACCCUA